AAUGAACGCUGGCGGCAGGCCUAACACAUGCAAGUCGAACGCCCCGCAAGGGGAGUGGCGCACGGGUGAGUAACGCGUGGGAAUAUGCCCUUCGGUUCGGAAUAACACAGGGAAACUUGUGCUAAUACCGGAUAAGAUCUACGGAUGAAAGAUUCAUCGCCGAAGGAGUAGCCCGCGUAGGAUUAGCUUGUUGGUGAGGUAACGGCUCACCAAGGCGACGAUCCUUAGCUGGUCUGAGAGGAUGAUCAGCCACACUGGGACUGAGACACGGCCCAGACUCCUACGGGAGGCAGCAGUGGGGAAUAUUGGACAAUGGGCGAAAGCCUGAUCCAGCCAUGCCGCGUGAGUGAUGAAGGCCUUAGGGUUGUAAAGCUCUUUCGCCAGGGAAGAUAAUGACGGUACCUGGAAAAGAAGCCUCGGCUAACUCCGUGCCAGCAGCCGCAGUAACAC
rnacentral:rRNA from 1 species